rnacentral:tRNA from 1 species
GCCGAAGUGGCGGAAUUGGUAGACGCACUGGCUUCAGGUGACACGACGCAAGACUGUGAAGGUUCGAGUCCCUUCUUCGGCA